rnacentral:rRNA from 1 species
UACGUAGGUGACAAGCGUUGUCCGGAAUUACUGGGCGUAAAGCGUGCGCAGGCGGUUCGUUAAGUUCGUUGUGAAAGCCCCGGGCUCAACCUGGGAACUGCAAUGGAAACUGGCGGGCUUGAGUGUGGCAGAGGGGGUGGAAUUCCGGCGUGUAGCAGUGAAAUGCGUAGAGAUGCGGAGGAACACCGAUGGCGAAGGCAGCCCCUGGGCCAACACUGACGCUCAGGCACGAAAGCGUGGGGAGCAAACAGG